GACUAGAUUAAGUUCUAUUACUGAUGCUAUCUCUCGUGCUCCCUCCCCAUUUAUCCUGCCGUGGUGCUCUUUACCUCGUGUCUGGUAGGCCGGCCGUUUACUUUGAACAAAUUAAAGAGCUCAGA
rnacentral:rRNA from 1 species